rnacentral:misc_RNA from 1 species
UCACCAAAGGAUGCAGUACUAGAACU